rnacentral:rRNA from 1 species
UGAUCCUGGCUCAGGAUGAACGCUGGCGGCGUGCCUAAUACAUGCAAGUCGAACGAAUCUCUUUUAGAGAUGAGUGGCGAACGGGUGAGUAAUACAUAGGUAACCUGCCCCUGUGCGGGGGAUAACAGGAGGAAACUCCUGCUAAUACCGCAUAGCCAUGGGCACCGCAUGGAGCUCAUGCCAAAUAUCCUUUCGGGGAUAGCGCAGGGAUGGACCUAUGGCGCAUUAGCUAGUUGGCGGGGCAACGGCCCACCAAGGCAACGAUGCGUAGCCGGCCUGAGAGGGCGGACGGCCACAUUGGGACUGAGACACGGCCCAGACUCCUACGGGAGGCAGCAGUAGGGAAUUUUCGGCAAUGGGGGAAACCCUGACCGAGCAACGCCGCGUGAGCGAAGAAGGCCUUCGGGUCGUAAAGCUCUGUUGUAAAGGAAGAACGGCGCAUACAGGAAAUGGUAUGCGAGUGACGGUACUUUACCAGAAAGCCACGGCUAACUACGUGCCAGCAGCCGCGGUAAUACGUAGGUGGCGAGCGUUAUCCGGAAUCAUUGGGCGUAAAGAGGGAGCAGGCGGCCGCAAGGGUCUGUGGUGAAAGACCGAAGCUAAACUUCGGUAAGCCAUGGAAACCGGGCGGCUAGAGUGCGGAAGUGGAUCGUGGAAUUCCAUGUGUAGCGGUGAAAUGCGUAGAUAUAUGGAGGAACACCAGUGGCGAAGGCGACGGUCUGGGCCGCAACUGACGCUCAUUCCCGAAAGCGUGGGGAGCAAAUAGGAUUAGAUACCCUAGUAGUCCACGCCGUAAACGAUGGUCACUAAGUGUCGGGGGUCAAACCCCGGUGCUGCAGUCAACGCAAUAAGUGACCCGCCUGAGUAGUACGUUCGCAAGAAUGCAACUCAAAUGAAUUGACGGA